GAGGGCAAGUCUGGUGCCAGCAGCCGCGGUAAUUCCAGCUCCAAUAGCGUAUAUUAAAGUUGUUGCAGUUAAAAAGCUCGUAGUUGAAUUUCGGGAUUCAUCCGUUGGUCGGGCCUCACGGUCCGUACUGGUGUGAUGGGUUCCUACCUUCUGAAUAACCGGCAUGCCAUUAAUUUGGUGCGCCGGGGAAGCAGAACUAUUACCUUGAAAAAAUUAGAGUGCUUAAAGCAGGCAAGUGCCUGAAUAGGUUAGCAUGGAAUAAUAAAAUAGGACGGCAUGGUUCUAUUUUGUUGGUUUCUAGGAUCACCGUAAUGAUUAAUAGGGAUAGUUGGGGGCAUUAGUAUUCAAUUGUCAGAGGUGAAAUUCUUGGAUUUAUUGAAGACUAACUUCUGCGAAAGCAUUUGCCAAGGAUGUUUUCAUUAAUCAAGAACGAAAGUUAGGGGAUCGAAGACGAUCAGAUACCGUCGUAGUCUUAACCAUAAACUAUGCCGACUAGGGAUCGGACGAUGUUAAUUUUUUAAUGACUCGUUCGGCGCCUUACGGGAAAC
rnacentral:rRNA from 1 species